AGACAGCAGCCGCCGCGGUAAUACGUAGGUCCCGAGCGUUGUCCGGAUUUAUUGGGCGUAAAGCGAGCGCAGGCGGUUUGAUAAGUCUGAAGUAAAAGGCUGUGGCUUAACCAUAGUAUGCUUUGGAAACUGUCAAACUUGAGUGCAGAAGGGGAGAGUGGAAUUCCAUGUGUAGCGGUGAAAUGCGUAGAUAUAUGGAGGAACACCGGUGGCGAAAGCGGCUCUCUGGUCUGUAACUGACGCUGAGGCUCGAAAGCGUGGGGAGCAAACAGGAUUAGAUACCCGCGUAGUCCCUGUCUCUUAUACA
rnacentral:rRNA from 1 species